UGACAUAGGCAAACCUUCGGCUUGGAAACUAAAAGUACUAAAGGGCUGCUUGGAAGUGUUGUCAUAUUGUGAUAUCAAACAUAAAACGACGAUUGUUAACUGUGUUGAUUUUUUUGUUUUCUGUUCCCGAGAGAUCCGGUAGCGCGGUUAUCGUGGAUUCUGUUCUGUGUGCGGAAUAAUGCAAAAAUGCCGCUUUUCGAAAUCAACAGGCUGUGUAGCGUAAAACACCGUCUUGUUCGUAGACUGUUGGAGUCAAUCUACCAGCUACUGCCGAAAAAAGCAACCUAGUAAAUAUUUAAGGCGAUUCGAGCUAUUGGACAUUCCGCUUAAAAUGUUACUGCAAAAUUCGCUAUACUGCUUAAGUGAAAUAUACAGUGAUGUGGAAGUUCUCGCAGGAAAGCAGGUAUCAGUUGCGACUCAAAAUAGCAAAAUAGCAGAGGGUGUCGAACUGGAUUCAGCAGGAACUGUAGCGAUACGAGCCAUAUCUCGUUGCCAGAAAUCCCGGUCCUAGCAACAUAAACGAGAAGACUGUCAGGGCAAUUUGUAUGUUUGCUAACUACCUACACGAAUCAGCCAGCAUUUCCACUAUAAACCACCUAUGAAGUAAAAACUAUGAAGCCUCCUCUAGAACAUUUCUCAUGGAGAUAACUGAUUGGGCAUUUACUGGAUCCACAAAAAUAAUCUU